GAUGAACGCUGGCGGCGUGCUUAACACAUGCAAGUCGAACGGAAAGGCCAGUGCUUGCACUGGUACUCGAGUGGCGAACGGGUGAGUAACACGUGGGUGAUCUGCCCUGUACUUCGGGAUAAGCUUGGGAAACUGGGUCUAAUACCGGAUAGGACAACUUUUUGGAUAUUGUUGUGGAAAGCUUUUGCGGUAUGGGAUGAGCUCGCGGCCUAUCAGCUUGUUGGUGGGGUAAUGGCCUACCAAGGCGUCGACGGGUAGCCGGCCUGAGAGGGUGUACGGCCACAUUGGGACUGAGGUACGGCCCAGACUCCUACGGGAGGCAGCAGUGGGGAAUAUUGCACAAUGGGCGCAAGCCUGAUGCAGCGACGCCGCGUGGGGGAUGAAGGCCUUCGGGUUGUAAACUCCUUUCGCUAGGGACGAAGCGCAAGUGACGGUACCUGGAGAAGAAGCACCGGCUAACUACGUG
rnacentral:rRNA from 1 species